rnacentral:rRNA from 1 species
CCUACGGGGGGCAGCAGUGGGGAAUAUUGGGCAAUGGGCGCAAGCCUGACCCAGCAACGCCGCGUGAAGGAAGAAGGCUUUCGGGUUGUAAAAUUCUUUUAUCAGGGACGAAGCAAGUGACGGUACCUGAUGAAUAAGCAACGGCUCACUACGUGCCAGCAGCCGCGGUAAUACGUAGGUGGCAAGCGUUAUGCGGAUUUACUGGGUGUAAAGGGCGUGUAGGCGGGAGUGCAAGUCAGAGGUGAAAACUAGGGGGUCAACCAAUAGCCUGCAUUUGAAACUGGACUUCUUGAGUGGUGGAGAGGCAAUCGGAAGUCCGUGUGUAGCGGUGAAAUGCGUAGAUAUACGGAGGAACACCAGUGGCGAAGGCAGAUUGCUGGACAGUAACUGACGCUGAGGCGCGAAAGCGUGGGGAGCAAACAGGAUUAGAUACCCGGGUAGUC